rfam:Ictidomys tridecemlineatus contig060627, whole genome shotgun sequence.
GGGAAUAUAGCUCAGUUGGUAGAGUGCUUGCCUUGUAUGUACAAGGCCCUGGGUUCAAUCCCCAGCACCACCA